AGUCCUCUGAGUCCGUGCUGAGAUUUCGUCAGACACCAGACCACCAGCACUAAUGGGACUCUCAAGAUAAGUGAAGCG
rfam:Schistosoma rodhaini strain Burundi genome assembly, scaffold: SROB_contig0000482